AUACAGGCAUGUCCAACAUGGAUUGACAUAUAGCACGAGUAUCAAAGUAGGUUCAGAUCAUCUUAUUGGGGUCAGCAUGGAUCCCUAGAAGAGGAAGACAUGGUCUGAUACUAAAGUCUCUAGAUCUUUAUAGAAAGAGAAAGUAGAGAGAGAAAGUAGAGAGAGAAUCUUCAUAUUCCUCAAAAAGAAAAUCAUAAUCAAAA
rnacentral:lncRNA from 1 species